rnacentral:rRNA from 1 species
UACGUAGGGUGCGAGCGUUGUCCGGAAUUAUUGGGCGUAAAGAGCUCGUAGGCGGUGUGUCGCGUCGGUCGUGAAAACUUGGGGCUUAACCCUGAGCUUGCAGUCGAUACGGGCAUCACUGGAGUUCGGCAGGGGAGACUGGAAUUCCUGGUGUAGCGGUGAAAUGCGCAGAUAUCAGGAGGAACACCGGUGGCGAAGGCGGGUCUCUGGGCCGAUACUGACGCUGAGGAGCGAAAGCGUGGGGAGCGAACAGG